AACUUUCGGCAAUGGAUCACUUGGUUCCGGCAUCGAUGAAGAACGCAGCGAACUGCGAUAAGUAAUGUGAAUUGCAGAAUUCAGUGAAUCAUCGAAUCUUUGAACGCAUAUUGCGCCCUCUGGCAUUCCGGAGGGUAUGCCUGUUCGAGCGUCAUUACAGCCAUCAAGCACCGCUUGGAGUUGGGCGUCGCUGGCUCACAGCGCGUCUCAAAAUCAGUGGCGGUACUAUCUAGGCUCUGAGCGUAGUAAGUCUCUCGCUCCGGAGCCUGGCCAGAGCCCGCCAGAAGCCAACUACACGUAGGGUUGACCUCGGAUCAGGUAGGGGUACCCGCUGAACUUAAGCAUAUCAAUAAGCGGAGG
rnacentral:misc_RNA from 1 species